GCAGUGAUGGCCGAGUGGUUAAGGCGUCUGACUAGAAAUCAGAUGGAUCUUCCGCGUAGGUUCGAAUCCUACUCACUGCG
rnacentral:tRNA from 1 species